GGGUAAGUACCACAUGUGCAGACUGACCACCGUGUCUCAGAUGCCCAUGGACGAUGCUACUCCUCACUUGGUAAACGACAAGAGUGAAGCUCAUUUCAGUUGAUUCCCCUCAAGCUUCCCUUGAAGGAUGCCCAUGGUGAAUGAAAGAAGGAAGCUGAAGAAUCCAGUUCAUUCUGGUUCACAAAACAUUUCCAACCGCAGUUACAUUUCUUGUCAUGUUCUUCUGCUUCCA